CUCGGCGUCCCACGCUGCUCCCCUCCCCCACUGUCGCGAAGCUCCCGCCCAAGCCGACCACGUGCCGCGAGCCCGGCGGGGAGAGCCCACUCCCGCGCCCCUUCCGGGCCCACUACCCCGCCGGGCUGUGGCCCAUCGCCCCAGUGCCUGGUAGCCUAGUUUUCUCGUUUGUCGUUUGUUCACUUAUUUAUUAUUAUUAUUAUUAUUUUGACUCGUAAUGGGUAUGAGGUGUAAGGGGGCCUAUUACGGAUGUUAAGGGGAGAGGGCACCGCUCGGGUUUUAAUAAGCAUCUGUGGAGCUCAUUUAUAAGAUUGGCAUCCUCUGCUUCUGCAGAAAACAUGGCUACCAACAGCUUCUGUAUCCACCUGCGGAGGAGACUGACUGCUCUGUUAUUCCCCCAGCAUCUGUGAAGAGGCUCUGACUGGCUAAAGUGUUGGUAUAGUGAUCACCCCAGGGUUAGGCAACCAUGGCUGGUGAAAAGGAAAAACGUUAUGAACCUGGCUGUGCGGAGCUACCUGAGGAAGCUUGUAGGAGAAGGGAAGGAGUCUGUAGCUUUAGGGGAAGACAGAGCCACAAGAUGGAAGGAGCUUGGAUGUCUGAACUAUUCCAUGGAGAAAAGCUGCAGCCAACGAAGAACACCUGCAAUGGACUCUUAACCUGGGGGUGACGACAACCACUGAAAUAUGCUGCAUCUUAGUCCAGGGAUUUUUAAAGUGUGGUUCCUGGAAGAGCUGGAUCAGAGUCAUCUGUGUUGAUGGUUUAACAUAAAGAUUUUCGAGCCCCAAGACUCAAGUAGGACAAGGAAUUUGAAUUUUUAAGCAGCUCACCUGACUUGUCUGUCCUCUAAUGUCUGAAGACAUCUGACCUCUGCUCUUUCAGUAAAAGCAACAAUGGUUUUAUGAGCAUUGUCGUCACAUCUCUCCACUCAAGGGAUCCUUCUCAUUUCUCCCAGCUGAGGUCACCCACAGCUGCUGCUUCUAACUGCUGGCUUCCAGCCUGCUGUCUGCCAGCUGGCUCUACCCUCUCCUAUAACACGGCAGAGAGUAGCUGUGGUCUCCUGCGUGCUCACCCUCUGCUCCCUUGGUCCUGCUCCAUGCUUUGGUCCUGCACUUAAAUUUUACAAGCAUACUCUCUUUCUCUUAAGAAUGAUUUUCAAUGCCAUUUAGAGGAAAUCUUGGGAUCAACUUGGGAAAAGACGGAGGCUCCUGGCUCUGAUCUUUGGGGACUUCAGAUUUUCUGGAUCAAGGUGAGUCUUCUUGAGGCUUUACCAAGGAAACAGGCAGUUUUAGAGUUGGCCUUAAGGAUGUUCUCUGGUGUCAUCAAAGAAAUGGAAAUGCAAAGCAGAGACAUGUGCAUUUAGAUAUGUGUAAGACUGUAGACUAUUUUUAGUGGAAAAUGGCUGCUGAGUGUGUGGAAAGAGUAUAAAAGAUUUCAGUGGGAAGAUUCUACAAUCAUUUGAGAUUCUCCAUUGCUGGAAAAUUCUCAAAUUAGGCUUAUGAAGGCAAUUUGAUUUAGCAAACAGCUCUCUGGACCAAGCAAAUCUUCUCAGCAGGGAUGGAAUUUGAACUGCACUUGUCCCUGGUUCUCACCUUCCCUGAGAAGCAGUGCAUCUGCAGUGUCCCAGGUGAUGCCCCCCACAGGCCUUGAAGCUUGUCUUCCAGAAGAGCCUUCAUUUCAGGGGCAGCAUUCCAGGAAGCACGCCCAUGAAACACUCAUGAGGAGGAACUGGGCUGCCAAUUAUGACUUGUCACUGCUCCAUCAACAUAAAAGCUCGGCAGCACUCAGAUGGCUCUUGAAAAUCUUUGAGAUAUAAUCUGAAAGGAGGUCCCAGUUUCUGCCCCGGGCUGUUUGCAUCAUCAACCUGCAAAAUUCCAAUCUUGGAACUUGCUGAGAUUUUCAUUCUGAGACUCUCUGCCCUGGGCCUUGAGGAUAGCCAGAAGAAUACUAUAUUUCUUCUGCCUCUCUUUCUCUUUCUAUCUAAAGAGGUCAGGAUUAUAUAUCCACUUUGCUGAAUAUAGAAUCAAACCCAAUUGCCAUCAGCAAGUGCUGUAUAUCACCUACCACACCUGGGACCAGGCAUCAACAAGACCUUGACAGGGCCAGAAGCCUCAAGCCCUCAUUGCCAAGCCCAUUAAAAUCAGGAACUCAAUCUCAUUAAGGAAGGAGUGCAAUGGAUAUAGCCAGACAGGAGGAUUUCCACUUCAGUAUUAUCCUGAAUAGUGAACAACCAUCUCUGCUUUUCUCAGGGAGAAAGAUGUGGUAACAGUCACAAUGAUAGUAGACGAUGGUGACUGUUUAAUUUGUCAUGGCUAACAUAUAUGGUUAGCAAAUUGAGUUUCCUUUUAGGUAUAGUCUGAAUUGAACUGAAGUUCAUUAUAAUUCCCCUAAGUUGAUCUGUGAGGGCAUUUUAGCCUUCUUGGUAAAAUUAAAUAAUAUCAGUCAAAAAGGCUGUUAAACCAAUUCUUACACUUGAAAGCUUCCAGUUAUUCUAAUAAUUUGGAAUCUGUGUCUCCCCCUCUGUGGCAAUGAGGCUGUUGCUUGCUUUUCCCAAGAGACUGUAUUGCAUCUUUCUUGUUUUCUGAGAUGAGAAACAACCUCAAGGUCAUGCCCAGUGAUAUGGUUUGGCUCUGUGCCCCCACCCAAAUCUCAUCCCGAAUUGUAAUCCCCACAUGUCGGAGGAGGGGCUUGGUGGGAGGUGACUGGAUUAUGGGGGUGUAUUUACCCCUUGUUUUCAUGAUAGUGAGUUCUCAUGAGAUUUGAUGGUUUAAAACUGUGUGGCACCGCCCCCUGCAAGCUCCCUCUCUCUCCUGCCACCAAGUAAGACGUGCCUUGCUUCUUCUUUGCCUUCUGCCAUGAUUGUAAGUUUUCUGAGGCUUCCCCAGCCAUGCAGAACUGUGU
rnacentral:lncRNA from 10 species